CCUACGGGAGGCAGCAGUGAGGAAUAUUGGUCAAUGGACGAGAGUCUGAACCAGCCAAGUAGCGUGAAGGAUGACUGCCCUAUGGGUUGUAAACUUCUUUUUUAUGGGAAUAAAAUGUUCCACGUGUGGGAUUUUGUAUGUACCAUAUGAAUAAGGCACAGCUAACUCCGUGCCAGCAGCCGCGGUUAUACGGAGGAUCCGAGCGUUAUCCGGAUUUAUUGGGUUUAAGGGGAGCGUAGGGGGCUUGUUAAGUCAGUUGUGAAAGUGUGCGGCUCAACCGUUAAAGUGCAGUUGAAACUGGCAGUCGUGAGUACAGUAGAGGUGGGCGGAAUUCGUGGUGUAGCGGUGAAAUGCGUAGAGAUCACGAAGAACUCCGAUUGCGAAGGCAGCUCACUAGACUGCAACUGACACUGAGGCGCGAAAGUGUGGGUAUCAAACAGGAUUAGAUACCCGAGUAGUC
rnacentral:rRNA from 1 species